UGCUUAACACAUGCAAGUCAACUUGAACUUCCGCUUGGAAGGGGGACGGGUGAGUAACGCGUAAAGAACUUGCCUCACAGAUAGGGACAACAUUUGGAAACGAAUGCUAAUAUCUAAUAUUAUGAUUUUAGGGCAUCCUAGGAUUAUGAAAGCUACAUGCGCUGUGAGAGAGCUUUGCGUCCCAUUAGCUAGUUGGAGAGGUAACGGCUCACCAAGGCGAUGAUGGGUAGCCGGCCUGAGAGGGUGAUCGGCCACAAGGGGACUGAGACACGGCCCUUACUCCUACGGGAGGCAGCAGUGGGGAAUAUUGGACAAUGGACCAAGAGUCUGAUCCAGCAAUUCUGUGUGCACGAUGAAGUUUUUCGGAAUGUAAAGUGGUGGGGGGUGGGAAGAAAAAAAUGACGGUACCAACAGAAGAAGUGACGGCUAAAUACGUGCCAGCAGCCGCGGUAAUACGUAUGUCACAAGCGUUAUCCGGAUUUAUUGGGCGUAAAGCGCGUCUAGGUGGUUAUGUAAGUCUGAUGUGAAAAUGCAGGGCUCAACUCUGUAUUGCGUUGGAAACUGUGUAACUAGAGUACUGGAGAGGUAAGCGGAACUACAAGUGUAGAGGUGAAAUUCGUAGAUAUUUGUAGGAAUGCCGAUGGGGAAGCCAGCUUACUGGACAGAUACUGACGCUGAAGCGCGAAAGCGUGGGUAGCAAACAGGAUUAGAUACCCUGGUAGUCCACGCCGUAAACGAUGAUUACUAGGUGUUGGGGGUCGAACCUCAGCGCCCAAGCAAACGCGAUAAGUAAUCCGCCUGGGGAGUACGUACGCAAGUAUGAAACUCAAAGGAAUUGACGGGGACCCGCACAAGCGGUGGAGCAUGUGGUUUAAUUCGACGCAACGCGAGGAACCUUACCAGCGUUUGACAUCUUAGGAAUGAGACAGAGAUGUUUCAGUGUCCCUUCGGGGAAACCUAAAGACAGGUGGUGCAUGGCUGUCGUCAGCUCGUGUGGGGAGAAAAAAAUUAAGUCCCGCAACGAGCGCAACCCCUUUCGUAUGUUACCAUCAUUAAGUUGGGGACUCAUGCGAUACUGCCUGCGAUGAGCAGGAGGAAGGUGGGGAUGACGUCAAGUCAUCAUGCCCCUUAUACGCUGGGCUACACACGUGCUACAAUGGGUAGUACAGAGAGUCGCAAAGCCGUGAGGUGGAGCUAAUCUCAGAAAACUAUUCUUAGUUCGGAUUGUACUCUGCAACUCGAGUACAUGAAGUUGGAAUCGCUAGUAAUCGCGAAUCAGCAAUGUCGCGGUGAAUGGGUUCUCGGGUCUUGUACACACCGCCCGUCACACCACGAGAGUUGGUUGCACCUGAAGUAGCAGGCCUAACUUUAAGGGGGGAUGCUCCGAGGGUGUGAUUAGCGAU
rnacentral:rRNA from 1 species